UGGGGAAUAUUGCACAAUGGGCGAAAGCCUGAUGCAGCGACGCAGCGUGAGGGAUGACGGCCUUCGGGUUGUAAACCUCUUUCAGUAGGGACGAAGCGCAAGUUACGGUACCUGCAGAAGAAGCACCGGCUAACUACGUGCCAGCAGCCGCGGUAAUACGUAGGGUGCGAGCGUUGUCCGGAAUUACUGGGCGUAAAGAGCUCGUAGGCGGUUUGUCACGUCGUCUGUGAAAUCCUAGGGCUUAACCCUGGACGUGCAGGCGAUACGGGCUGACUUGAGUACUACAGGGGAGACUGGAAUUUCUGGUGUAGCGGUGGAAUGCACAGAUAUCAGGAAGAACACCGAUGGCGAAGGCAGGUCUCUGGGUAGUAACUGACGCUGAGGAGCGAAAGCAUGGGUAGCGAACAGG
rnacentral:rRNA from 1 species